AUGAACGCUAGCUACAGGCUUAACACAUGCAAGUCGAGGGGCAGCAUGGUCUUAGCUUGCUAAGGCCGAUGGCGACCGGCGCACGGGUGAGUAACACGUAUCCAACCUGCCGUCUACUCUUGGACAGCCUUCUGAAAGGAAGAUUAAUACAAGAUGGCAUCAUGAGUCCACAUGUUCACAUGAUUAAAGGUAUUCCGGUAGACGAUGGGGAUGCGUUCCAUUAGAUAGUAGGCGGGGUAACGGCCCACCUAGUCUUCGAUGGAUAGGGGUUCUGAGAGGAAGGUCCCCCACAUUGGAACUGAGACACGGUCCAAACUCCUACGGGAGGCAGCAGUGAGGAAUAUUGGUCAAUGGGCGAGAGCCUGAACCAGCCAAGUAGCGUGAAGGAUGACUGCCCUAUGGGUUGUAAACUUCUUUUAUAAAGGAAUAAAGUCGGGUAUGCAUACCCGUUUGCAUGUACUUUAUGAAUAAGGAUCGGCUAACUCCGUGCCAGCAGCCGCGGUAAUACGGAGGAUCCGAGCGUUAUCCGGAUUUAUUGGGUUUAAAGGGAGCGUAGAUGGAUGUUUAAGUCAGUUGUGAAAGUUUGCGGCUCAACCGUAAAAUUGCAGUUGAUACUGGAUAUCUUGAGUGCAGUUGAGGCAGGCGGAAUUCGUGGUGUAGCGGUGAAAUGCUUAGAUAUCACGAAGAACUCCGAUUGCGAAGGCAGCCUGCUAAGCUGCAACUGACAUUGAGGCUCGAAAGUGUGGGUAUCAAACAGGAUUAGAUACCCUGGUAGUCCACACGGUAAACGAUGAAUACUCGCUGUUUGCGAUAUACAGCAAGCGGCCAAGCGAAAGCGUUAAGUAUUCCACCUGGGGAGUACGCCGGCAACGGUGAAACUCAAAGGAAUUGGCGGGGGCCCGCACAAGCGGAGGAACAUGUGGUUUAAUUCGAUGAUACGCGAGGAACCUUACCCGAGCUUAAAUUGCAGAUGAAUUACGGUGAAAGCCGUAAGCCGCAAGGCAUCUGUGAAGGUGCUGCAUGGUUGUCGUCAGCUCGUGCCGUGAGGUGUCGGCUUAAGUGCCAUAACGAGCGCAACCCUUGUUGUCAGUUACUAACAGGUUCUGCUGAGGACUCUGACAAGACUGCCAUCGUAAGAUGUGAGGAAGGUGGGGAUGACGUCAAAUCAGCACGGCCCUUACGUCCGGGGCUACACACGUGUUACAAUGGGGGGUACAGAGGGCCGCUACCACGCGAGUGGAUGCCAAUCCCAAAAACCUCUCUCAGUUCGGACUGGAGUCUGCAACCCGACUCCACGAAGCUGGAUUCGCUAGUAAUCGCGCAUCAGCCACGGCGCGGUGAAUACGUUCCCGGGCCUUGUACACACCGCCCGUCACACCAUGAGAGCCGUCAAUACCCGAAGUCCGUAGCCUAACCUUCUAGGAGGGCGCGGCCGAAGGUAGGGGUGGUAAUUAGGGUG
rnacentral:rRNA from 1 species